rnacentral:rRNA from 1 species
UACGUAGGGGGCGAGCGUUGUCCGGAAUCAUUGGGCGUAAAGCGCAUGUAGGCGGCCGCGUUAGUCGGAUGUGAAAUCCCGAGGCUCAACUUCGGAACUGCAUCCGAUACUGCGCGGCUUGAGGAAGGUAGAGGAGAGUGGAAUUCCCGGUGUAGCGGUGGAAUGCGCAGAUAUCGGGAGGAACACCAGCGGCGAAGGCGGCUCUCUGGGCCUCUCCUGACGCUGAGAUGCGAAAGCGUGGGUAGCGAACAGG